rnacentral:misc_RNA from 1 species
UUUGAGUUCCAGUCCUGU